rnacentral:lncRNA from 1 species
AGGUGGAGAGAUAUGGGGAGCUGCGUGAAAAUAUUUAGUCCCUAUUGGAGGAUCCAAGCGGGACUAAAAGGGCUAGGACAGAAUACAAAAUUUAGAUUCGGGACUAAAGUUUCUUUAGUUCUGGGUCAAAAAAAUCGACUAGUGCCGGGCUGGGGGAAGGGAAAGGUGAGCUGAGGCCUGUUCAGGAGUUCAAAGGUUUUUCAUUUAUUUAGUUUGGGUUUUUGUUUGAUUUGAAUCAAAUUUGAAUAUAAUUCGAAUUGGAGUUGGGUUUGGGACUUUGGAUUAUUUCUAAAAUUCAAGAGCACUCGAUUGCAUCCAUAUUCACAAUGACUUGAAUAUUAAAGAUAGGGGAAGGGCUUUUAUAGUUUGUUUAGACGAGUUUUGGUUUAGCCAUGGAAUUUGAAUGGAAUUCAAAUUUGGAUUAGGUUUAGUUUUAUUUCCAAAUUCCUAUAGUUUGCAAGUCAUUCAUGUUUUCUUUGUUUGAGCAUGGAUAAUUAAAAUGAUUUUUAAUUAUUAGAGGAAGAAAGAAUUGUCUCUUAUAGAAAAUUUUUAAAAAGUCCUCAUUUUUAAAUGUUUUGAAUUUUUGGAUGUUACAACAUCAAUAUGCUCCUAAAAUAUUU